GCGGGCAGAACGACUGGCGUACGAUGACAGCAAUAUUGAAACCAAGGUUAUUAUUCCAACACCGAAGUCACUCCAGAUAGACCUCCAAAAGCCCAUGACUUCAUUCAACACCAGCUGGAAGGUGUUUGCAGAAGACAACAUCUUUAACGAUACAGCUCUGUACAUAACAGAAAAACUAAAAAUUCAGCAAGUCUUUUCGAAGCCCAGCGCUUACGUCAUAAUACUGAGUCGUAACAAUACCAUUGGACCUGAAGGGUAUACUUUAAGCGUCGAUGAGAACGUCAUUCGUCUUGAAGCAAGUGACGCGGUGGGAAUGUUCUACGCCGUGCAAUCUCUCAGAAGCAUUAUUGACGGAGCGAGCGGUGCAAACAUCCGUGCCAUGACCGUUCACGACGCACCGCGCUACCGCUGGAGGGGAAGGCAUC